rnacentral:rRNA from 2 species
UGGGGAAUCUUGCGCAAUGGCCGAAAGGCUGACGCAGCGACGCCGCGUGUGGGAUGAAGGUCUUCGGAUUGUAAACCACUGUCGGGAGGGACGAAGCUCUGACGGUACCUCCAAAGGAAGCACCGGCUAACUCUGUGCCAGCAGCCGCGGUAAUACAGAGGGUGCGAGCGUUGUCCGGAAUCACUGGGCGUAAAGGGCGCGUAGGCGGCCUGGUAAGUCGGGGGUGAAACGCUGCGGCUCAACCGCAGCACUGCCUUCGAGACUGCCGGGCUUGAGCACGGUAGAGGCUGGUGGAAUUCCCGGUGUAGCGGUGGAAUGCGUAGAGAUCGGGAAGAACAUCGGUGGCGAAGGCGGCCAGCUGGGCCGUUGCUGACGCUGAGGCGCGACAGCGUGGGGAGCAAACAGG